GCCGAAAAAAAGUCUACGUAGUUUAUGGACAUCGCCUAAUUCCUUACAUCCAGAGCGCUAUCUCGGCGGUCUUUGUAAUCGACAAGAUAGCGACUACGGUCGACCUUCCCUUCAGGAAGCCAAACUGGUUGCUCAAGAGACCAUUUACACCCUCGGUGUGCCUGAACAUUCUGUUGAGGAUGACCUGUUCGAGCACCUUCUCCGCAGUGUCGUCUACAAUACCUACAGGUCUCCGGGUGGUUUCCCCGCUGCUACAGUUAAGAAUUAGCGAUGAAUUUGUAAACCUAGAUAAAUUUAAGUGUACGCUAGAAAAUAAAAUCAUCGACUAAAUAAAUCAUGAGCACCCCCCCAUUGCUUGAAAUGUCAAAGGGUAUGGAAAAUUAUAUUGCUGAUUACCAUGACGUGCUAGGCCAGCAGCGAAGCUUCCGCCUAAACACACAGACGAACGGGACACAAAAAGAAAGCCGUCCGACCGAGCGGUGGUGAGUGCUCCAUAGUGCCGAAAAUUUUAUGAUCGCGCAGGCGGUUCGAUACCAGUUCUAGCUCGCGAAUGUGAGUAAUACCGCAUAUACGAGAAACCCAGAUACAGUAAUUGAUGUACUCCCCAGCAGACGACCUCUAUUCGGUACUUUCGGACUAGGCCUCGCACGAGCAGGCAAUUCGGGUACAGCACGUGGUGUUCACUGUGCCAUUCAUCAGAACUGUAGUUCGUUCAUCCCGAUCGGCCUCGCACCACUGACAUCGCAGCGGCAAGCAUCACUGGAACGAGCCCAACUCGUUAUCGUAGGCUCGUAAGACCAGAACGCGAGUAGGAACGUCGAAUUUCACUCCGGAGAUACUGCCAGAAGGCGGCAAGCAAGCGAAUCAGAGGAUACACUUCGACCGAACAAGCCCCGUAACCGGGGCUUUGUUCCAGAUCUCUCAGGUGUCACGAGCGCACUUGCUUCCGAGAGCAAUCUCCGGUUGACGGUGCUGGUUUUCCAACUGCCAGAAGGUCCGGCUUGAUUAGGCGCAGGAGGAGCGCCUGAAGCGAGGACGGAGACCAGACGGAGAGUUGAAUUUCCGAUCGCGGCCGACCUCCAUCUUAAGAAGGAAAAGGAACAAGCUUCCUGGCACAUCUCGCGUCAUG